ACUCAAAUGAAUAGACGGGGACCCGCACAAGCGGUGGAGCAUGUGGAUUAAUUCGAUACUAACCGAAGAACCUUACCCAGACUUGACAUCGACGGAAAAUCCCAGAAACGGGAUCCUGGACUCACAAGGUCCACCUGAAGACAGAUGUUGCAUGGCUGUCGUCAGCUCGUGCCGUGAGGUGUUUGGUUAAGUCCAGCAACGAGCGCAACCCUCAUCUUGUGUUACCAUCAGGUAAUGCUGGGGACUCACAAGAAACCGCCGGCGUAAGCCGGAGGAAGGUGAGGAUGACGUCAAGUCAGCAUGGCUCUUACGUCUGGGGCUUCACACAUGCUACAAUGGGCGCAACAAACGGCAGCAAUACCGCGAGGUGGAGCUAAUCCGAAAAAUACGCCCCCAGUUCAGAUUGCAGUCUGCAACUCGACUGCAUGAAGGCGGAAUCGCUAGUAACCGCAGGUCAGCUAUACUGCGGUGAAUACGUUCCCGGGUCUUGUACACACCGCCCGU
rnacentral:rRNA from 1 species